rnacentral:misc_RNA from 1 species
GAAAUGCGAUAAGUAGUGUGAAUUGCAGAAUUCAGUGAAUCAUCGAAUCUUUGAACGCACAUUGCGCCCCUUGGUAUUCCAUGGGGCAUGCCUGUUCGAGCGUCAUUUGUACCCUCAAGCUCUGCUUGGUGUUGGGUGUUUGUCCCCGUCUCCGCGCGUGGACUCGCCCCAAAGUGAUUGGCAGCCGGCGUACUGGUCCCGGAGCGCAGCACAUGUCGCGCAAACGAGUGCCUUGGUACGGCGGCGUCCAUAAGCCCCUCUCUCUCGCUCUUGACCUCGGAUCAGGUAGGGAUACCCGCUGAACUUAAGC